rnacentral:rRNA from 1 species
GACGAACGCUGGCGGCGUGCUUAACACAUGCAAGUCGAACGGUAAGGCCCUUCGGGGUACACGAGUGGCGAACGGGUGAGUAACACGUGGGUGAUCUGCCCUGCACUUCGGGAUAAGCCUGGGAAACUGGGUCUAAUACCGGAUAGGACCACUGCCUGCAUGGGUGGUGGUGGAAAGCUUUUGCGGUGUGGGAUGGGCCCGCGGCCUAUCAGCUUGUUGGUGGGGUGAUGGCCUACCAAGGCGACGACGGGUAGCCGGCCUGAGAGGGUGACCGGCGACACUGGGGCUGAGAUACGGCCCAGACUCCUACGGGAGGCAGCAGUGGGGAAUAUUGCACAAUGGGCGCAAGCCUGAUGCCGCGACGCCGCGUGAGGGAUGACGGCCUUCGGGUUGUAAACCUCUUUCAGCACCGACGAAGCGCAAGUGACGGUAGGUGCAGAAGAAGGACCGGCCAACUACGUGCCAGCCGCCGCCGUAA